GAAAAAAACUGUCUGGAAAUUUAGCUGCUAAACUGCAAACAGUUUCUAGUCAGCAAAGCAAACUGACUGUAUGUGUGUUCCUUUGCACUCCCCUUCAUCCUGACUAACCUUAGUGUUUCCCCAAUUUUAGAAAUGUUUUCACAGAAGCUGUUUCUGACUACAUUGCUUCAACCUGUGGGAGUGAUUUUCUAAGUGACACCAUCGCCAAAUCAGUGGGAAAAAUCCCAGAAAUACUUCUUCCGUGCCUCAUUUUAGAAAGCUGCUUGACUGUUUCAGCAGGUACCUCAGCCUUGAAGGGAUCCUUUUCAUUUAGAACCCGUGUCUUCCCUUAAGUAAUUGAUCACCGUGCACCCGGGGACACCCAGUUCACAGCCGAGUGGGAUCAGCCUUCAUGAAUAAUCAAAACGCUGUGGCCACGCUGCUGCAGGAGUGCAAGCAAGCUCUGGACACGCUCCUGUCAGCCAGGGCUGACACAGGCCAGGAAGAUGAGCAGGAAUACCAGCGGUGCCAAGCUUUGCUUCCCGUGGACUUGAGGACCCUUCUGGAGGAAGCAAAGGAAAUGAAGUGGCCCUUUGUGCCAGAGAAGUGGCAGUACAAACAAGACCUCGGCCCAGAAGACAAAACAAAUCUGCAAGAUAUGAUCAGCCUGAGGCUCCCUGAUUUGCUGGUGUAUUUGAAAGCCUCCAUCAUGGUCAAGGACUGCGUGACGGCUGCUGCGAUUGUGUUCCUGGUUGACCGGUUCCUGUAUUGGAUUGAUGCCUCCAGCAAACUUCUUCAGGUUGCCAAGGGUCUCCACAGGCUCCAGCCCACCACGCCCAUCAGCCCCCAGGUACUCAUCCGCCAGGCUCGCCUCUCCCUCAACACAGGUAAACUUCUAAAAGCUGAAUAUAUCCUCAGCAACCUUAUUAAUGACAAUGGAGCAACAGGUACCUGGCGAUAUGCUAAGGAAAGUGACAGGAUCCUCGUUCAGUCAGUCUGCUUACAAAUCAGAGGGCAGAUUCUGCAAAAGCUUGGGAUGUGGUAUGAGGCAGCAGAGUUGAUUUGGGCUUCAAUUGUGGGAUAUUUCAAACUUCCUCAACCAGAUAAAAAGGGAAUUGCUACUUCCUUGGAUAUUAUGGCAGACAUCUUUGCUUCCAUGAAUGAGAAGGAUUAUCAACGCUUUAAAACAAAUGCUGAGAUUGACCUGAACCUUCUCCAAGAGUUCAAUCAUCGCUUAUUAUCAGCUGCUGAGGCCUGCAAGCUGGCAGCAGCCUACAGCCAGUACACCCCACUGUUUGUCCUCACAGCUGUGAACAUCCGUGGGGUGUGUUUGCUGUCUUAUAGUCACUCCAAGGACUGUCCCUCAGAGAAGAGGAAGUUCUAUCUGUCCGAAGCUAAAGAAUCCUUUGAGAUUGGCCUCCUCACCAAGGAUGGGAACAGUCCCAUCACCAGCAAACAGGAGCUCCAUAGUUUUAUUAAAGCAGCUUUCUGCCUCACAACCGUGCACCGAUGGCUCUAUGGGGAGAGUGAGAAGCUCCAUGAGGUGUCCCAACUGUGUAGAGAAGCCAUGGAAAAACUGCACUCGUACAGCAGGUUGUUUACAGAAGAGGAAGAGAAAGAAACACUGGCCAAAGAGAUCAUGGCUCUGAUCACCUCUGUGAAGAAGCACCUGCAAGUAGAAAGCUUCCCUAAUUCUGAUCCCAGGUCUUAUGUUCCCAACAGUUACAAAGGUACAGUGGAAAAACCUAUCCUGCAACGGGAAGCUGACUUUGAGAAAAUCCUCGCCAUGCAUUCCCAGCAUCAUCUGUCCGUGUGCAAAGUGUUUGAAAACACCUGCAGGAUCCAUAAAACUGCACCAGGAGAAAGCCAGGUGGGAGCUUGUGUCACAACCCUAAGGACAGAAACCAAAACUGUGGACACCAUGUGUCCUACUGAAGAACGAGCGUGCCAGAGGAGAGGUGCUGCCAAAAUGCUGGAUUCACCAACAGGAGGAAGUAGCUCAGAGAGACUCAGGGGCCAAAGAGAUAAAUCCGUCAGCUCUGGUGCAAUGAAAAUUUCCUAUGAUGAGGAGAUUGAGCCAUUAGAAAUAAAUGAUGUGAACAGUGCUUUCAGCAGGUGGCAAAACAGGAGUCAGACCACUACUUCAGAAGGCUCUUGGUGCAAGCUUUCCAAAUCAAGCUCCUCUUCCAGCUGGGAGGAACUAAACUGUAAGAGUGGCAAAGAGAGUCCCAGAGAAGGGCAGCAGCAGGGGAAGGGCUCAGUGGAGGAGCAGUGUUGCACAACAGAAUCUGCUGAAAACAUUCAGGCUGCACACUUGCACUCAUUACCUCCCAGAGCCUGGCCUCCACCUCCUCAAAAGCCUUUGCAUAGCUCUUGGAGACCUCCUCAGCCAUCCAUCAAUAUGCCCCAACCUGGGAGGCUGGUAGAGAAUGCAUCUCUUUGUAGAGAAGAUCUGCAGGAGGAAAGACACCAUGGAGAGAACUCUUCAGAAAAAAAAGCAGGAGAAGUGAGCAAGGUGAUUCUUUCCCCCUUCCCACGUUACUCUGUUCCUACCAGGCACAAAGAGAAGUCCUCCUUCCAGGUGGAGCUGGGCUGCAGGAACAAGGACAGCAGCAGGGAUCCCCUGAGCCAUUUUGUGUGGGUCAACCUAGGAGCUGAACCUGCAGAGAGCACAGAGGAGACCCCCCCAGAUGGCGAUGCUUCUGUACUGUCAACCAGCAUCAAGCCAAAAAUGGCCAGUGACUCCUCGACAUGUGACCAGCUGAGGAAACCUGCCGUGGUGGCAAAAAGGUCUGUCCAAGUGCCUGAAGUUGACACCCAAGUAGAAACAAGUGAUGACACUGAGUUUGAUUUCAUCAGUGUUGGAGAUUUAGUGAACCAUUAUCCUACAGCAUCUGUCCCAGAGCAUCAGUCAGCUCCCCCUGCACCAACAGCUUUGCCCUCGGGGGGGAAGAUCUCCAAGACUGAGCAUUUUGACUGUGCCACUACUGAAGAAGAUGAAGAAAAGACUCAGGACAUGGUGAGCAGCAAGAGACAAUCCAGUUCAUCUCUGAGCUCAUGGUACAAAUCAGCACAGAUGCCCAAGAACUCCCCUGAAGGUCCAUUUCUGAACCCAGGGGGAAGGGGUCUUAUCUUCACGCCUGGGAGAACGAAGGAGGAAAUCCUUGAUGCUCGAUUUCUGAGGGACGAGGAUUAUGUGCAGCUUCUUGCAGGGGUAGAACAUAAUUGGCUUGUCCAGAGACUGAGGCCUACUGGAAUUUUUAAGUCUAAACAGCUUCUUCGUAAAACAUACUCUGCUCUUCUUUUGAAAUACUCCAAGAAAUCAGGGCUCUGGACAGGCCAGGAGACAGCUGUGUUCAUUGGGGACUACCUGAACGUGGCGAAGGAAGGCAAACAGAGAAACGCAUUUUGGAUACACUUCCUGCACCAAGAGGAAAGCCUGGGAAGGUAUGUUGGGAAGGAAUAUAAAGAAGAAAAAGGAGUUCUCCAUCAUUUCAGUGACGUGGAACGGCAAAUGACUGCCCAGUACUACGUGACAGAAUUCAACAAAAAGCUGUAUGAGCAAAAGCUCCCUACCCAAAUCUUUUAUAUCCCAUCUGCAGUGCUCCUGAUACUGGAGGACAGAACCAUAAAAGGAUGUGUGAGCGUGGAGCCCUACAUCCUUGGGGAGUUUGUGAAGCUGUCCAACAACACCAAGGUAGUAAAGAACGAGUACAAAGCCACAGAGUAUGGCCUGGCCUACGGUCAUUUCUCCUACGAGUUCUCCGGUGGAACAGAUGUUGUCGUUGAUCUGCAAGGUUGGGUGACGGGUAACGGGAAAGGCCUCAUCUACCUCACAGACCCCCAGAUUCAUUCUCUUAAUAGCAAAGAUGUUUCCCGCUCCAACUUUGGGAAGAAAGGGAUUUAUUACUUCUUUAACCAUCAACACGUGGAGUGCAACGAAAUCUGUCGCUGCCUUUCUUUAACAAGACCUUCAGCAGAGCUGCCAAUGUAGCCUCACACAAGACAGCCACAGAAAGAAUGACCCACAAACUGGGCAGGUUUUUUUUGUCCCACACACCUUUGGGAGCACAUCAUCUCUGUGACAACAGAGCCACUGAGAUGAUACCUGUGUGAGUCGGGUCAGUCGUUACCUGCACGAGUUUGACAAGUUCUAAUCUUUCCAUCCAGGCUGGUAACACCACGUUACCAUCCUGGGUGCCAUCUGAACCUCAUUUUGUUACAGCCAUCUGUAAGAAUUAACAACAAGACAUAAGAAGAGUGAGAAAACAACCUUCCAAAUUCAGCCAGAGGUGUACUAUGGGACUGUAUAAACUUCUAACCCAUCCAGACCUACUAAGGACAAUAGGCACCAUCUGCUUGUUGGAAACGGGAUAUGAGGUGGAGUGAGACAGAAGCAGAGAGUUGUGUUUCAACCAUCUGUAAAGUUUUCAAAAACUUGACUAAAUGCUUCAGGGGAAAAAAUGGUCACCUUUGGGUUUCCUUCAAAAAUAACAACAUUUCAUUCAAAUGUGUAUGUGUGUGUGUGACCACACAGCAUCUGAACAAGUGGGAAUACAGUUUUAACUGUAUCAGCCAAGAAAACUCCUCUUCUCUGCAAGGAAAAAAAUGUGUUCUUGAGCCAAGAGGUGCUUUGCAUGAAUAAUUUAGGACUGCCACAGAUUUGGUGGCCAAUCCUGUAAUUAAUUCCCACAAAUACCUCACUGGAGAUGAGUGCAGCUGCUUGUACGAUGGAGCAGCCCUGGUUUGGGGUUCCAACAAGGCAGGCAAAACACCCCUUCCUUUUGAGGCUCUGUCAUCCAGCCUUGCUGCUUUUCUGGCACAUCCCACAAAGUACAUUUAUAUAGGCACCCAAUAAUAUUUAAGUGAUAUAUUUGCACCCUGCCCACACCCAGAGCCUGAUCCUCCCACCCCUCUCACACAGCCAGAGACUAAAUUUGUGCCUACAAGAUGGGGGGUUUUCUUGACAACUCAGCCUGUGCUGGGAACAUACUUGACUGUCACACAUGCACACAGCUGCAACUCAGCCCUUGACCUCCCAACAUUUCAGCAGUGUUUUUGUUACUGUUUGUGGCUGUUAUUGUGCAUACUCAGAGAGCCCCUGAUUUUUAACACCAGGACUGAACAGCCUGUGGCAUGUAUGCUGGCCACAUGCUUCAGCAGUGCCUGCCUGGGUUAAGAGGCAGCUGCAGCCUUUUACUUGUUGUGAAACAGUUUUUUGUAGGUUGUUUUUUGUUGGUGGUGGGUUUUUUGUUGAUUUGUUGGUUUGUUUGUUUGUUUUUAAACUAAAGCUUGCAAUUCAUUCACAGGACCUCCUUCAACACCUACAGCAGUUCACAUACUGGCAACCACUCACCCACCUCCAGGAGACCCAAGGGAUAGAGUUACUCUGUCAGGGUAAAAUUCAGAAGCACAGAGAGGAGAGCAGUGCCCUCCCAACUCUGUGAAUUCUAGCUGAACAGCUGAAAUAUUUUUUAAUUUUUCUUCCUGCACAGGCUGGUUAGCUGAAAGGAGUCAAACCUGCUGGCAUGCUCAGAUAACGUGCAUGCUGAAGGGAAAAACUGCCAUAAGAAAAGAGAGGAUGGGAGCUCCUCACACAAAAUGCUGAGCCCCUUCAGUGCUGAAUUAAGACAGCUGGAGUGUCUGGUUGAAAUAAAAAAAAUAAACAUAUGGGCAAUAUUACCCAAAUUCAGACUAUGAUGAAAGAAGCAUUAUCAAACAUGCUGACUAAUGUGUUUUGUCCUAAAAAAAAAUUCAGCUGUCCAUUUCACAUCUGCUGUGACCAGGCUUUUAAUAAGGUGCCUGGCCAGGACCAGGGGGCUUUAACCUUAGUUUCCCCUGGGCUUCCAGCAGGAUUCUUGCUUCAGCCUUUGUCAGGGAUGCAUCCCAGGUUUUACUUAAAAGCAGAGAGAGCAUCUUUGCAUCUACAGGUUGCAGUGGGUUUUCUUUGCCACAGGAGAAAGAAACUGAUCUUCUUCCCACACAUCUUUCCUGGUGUUACUAGGUUUACCAGCAGGCAGAAAAGCUGCUUCUGGGGAAGUUUAAGCAGUAUGUAUGUCCCUUAACAGUGCUACAUACAACUGGAAUGACACAGAGGACUGGAGCUAACAUUUGUUGCUGCCUCUCCAGCCAAAAGAAGCUAUGAUGAGACCUACAUUUUAACUUUCCAGGACCGUGCCAGCACCUCCAGAGUAUGUGUGUGCACACAUAUGCCUGUGGACUCCCACACGUAUCCUAGAUUUCUUAACUUGGAAGAUGGUGGGCAGCUUUGCUGCUCCAUCAGCAGUGCAAAGCUGCCUUCAUUUCCAAUUCUCCUCCUGUCCUCCAGAGCCCUGAUGUCCCACCGCCCCCGAGCUCAAAGGCUGGGAUCGUUUGUCUGGGGAGAUUUUCCUGAUGAGAAAGAGAACACAGCAUCAAACUUCCACAAAAAAAAAAAAAAAAAAGAGAAAAAAAAAAAGAUGGGUUCCCAACAGAGAGUUCUCUUUAACAAAACCAUCCGCUUUUGUUCCUGCAGCCAGCAGAGAUUUUUAGGCUUUUGUCCCUGCUUUUUAGCAAUGCUGUUGUUUUCUAGGUGAUGUUUGUGCCGAGUUGUUUGGAAAGAUGCCCUACCCCUGCACUGGCCGACUUAGAACUAGGUAUAAAGAGGGAAAAGAAGAAGAAAAAAGAGGAGAAGAAGAAGAAAAAAAUUAAAUCUCUUUAUUAUGGUGCAUAAACCUUCAGUGUUAGGGAGCUGGGCAGCUGCGCAGGAAGAAAAAUGCAUUCAAAAAUAUAAUGCUAGUGUGAAUAAUCCUUUCUCGAAUGCUGCUUCAGCUUUGUCAGGUGAACUUGAACUGGGCCAUCAGCUUUGCUGCCGUUCCCAUUGCACAGUGUCUGUCACCCCAGGGCAUUCAGCAUCUUGCCUGUUGUGAAAAGCCAGCAAACAAUCCAUCAUUGAGCCGGGAGUCACCGCCUCAUAGAAAAGUAAAAUCGGCAUGUGACGGUACACUCAGCCCCGAGUUGUUUGGCAGAUUAAAAAGUGGUACAUGAAAACUCACGUGUUACUGGGAAGAUUAAGGCCUGUUAUCUCUUUCUCCAGCCAAUAAAGGAUGUCGUUGUCUGCACUGGAAGGGAAAGGCAGGCUUUAACCAAGUGACAACCUUCCUGCUUUGGCAAAAGAGAGCGCCCGACUCGCAAGAGGAAACAAAGCUAGUUAGCAAGAUCUUGGGAAUUAAUAGGCAAGCAGAGAUGCUGUGUUAAAGCCUCUCUGCAGAGCCUGUCUCUUCUCUAUAGAGACAAUUAGGAGCAAAACAAAACCCCCUGGACAAUCUCUGCGGAACAAAGUGUCCUGAUACCCUGCCAGCAGCCACAUCUGCCCCAACAGCACGUGCAGCUUGGAGAGCCCUACAAUCUAAGGUAUCCAAGGUGAAAGGCAGAGGGAUCACUCGCUGUGUGCCAUGGAUAGGAGUCAGAAAGUUUGACAUCAAGAGGGAACAAAAUGCACCUGCAUCCUGUAGACCAGAGGCAGAAUGAUCUCCUCGCUCUGUGCCAACAUCCUACAUCCCUACGAGAUCACUGCCUCUGUUGAAUCAGAAGCCUGAGUUUGGCACAAGAAGUGAGAGGGAUGAGAAGAUGGCCCCAAGUUUUCUGGACCUGUACAGACAUUUGCAGCAUCCCUGGCUGAAGGCAGGAUAUAUCCUUAAGUCAAAGGGAGAAGAGAUGAUGACAUUCCCAUCUGAGGAGAAUGAGCCCAAAAUUUGAAAUUCUACACUAUCCCCCCCCUGUGGAAAAGUCAGCAAAUGAAAGCAAUGAAAGACUGAGUCCACAAGGAGAAAGCAGAGAAAUAGGAAGAAAAACAAACACAAAAUACCCAGCCUGUGGAGAAAGGCUGAGCACGAGGGACCAUCUCCAGCCUGGAAUGAUGAAAGACAAACCUUGCCUUCUCUGCCAUGAAAAUGAGAGAUUUGGGAGGGAGAGAGGACAGAGGCAGAGAUGCCAGCAAAAGGCCAGCCCAGGGCAGAAGGUAUGACCUGAAGAUCAGGUGGCAUCCUGCCUUUCACCUGCAGAGAAACACAUGCCCUUUCAGACACAAAAAAUAGGUUUCACAGACACUUUGGGGUGUGCUCUCCUUAUGUUUCUUCAAAAAGAUGGAAGUCUAUUAUCCCAGAUGAUUGGCCUUUUGGAUGAAAACAACGUUCUGUGGUAACUAAUGUAUCCAGCAUUAAAAAAUCCAGCCAGUGUGUGCCUGAUUACUUGAUGUCACACACAUGUCAAUAACAAAGCCAUUA